GCCCAGGUGGCGGAAUUGGUAGACGCGCUGGUCUCAAACACCAGUGGGGCAACCCGUGCCGGUUCGAUCCCGGCCCUGGGUACAA
rnacentral:tRNA from 3 species